rnacentral:rRNA from 1 species
GAUUAACGCUGGCGGCGCACAUAAGACAUGCAAGUCGAACGGACUUAAUCGAUUCUUUUAGAUUCGAAGCGGUUAGUGGCGGACUGGUGAGUAACACGUAAGCAACCUGCCUAUUAGAGGGGAAUAACAGUGAGAAAUCAUUGCUAAUACCGCAUAAGCUAGAGACACCGCAUGGAGUAGCUAGAAAAGGAGAAAUCCGCUAAUAGAUGGGCUUGCGUCCGAUUAGCCAGUUGGUGGGGUAACGGCCUACCAAAGCGACGAUCGGUAGCCGAGCUGAGAGGCUCAACGGCCACAUUGGGACUGAGAUACGGCCCAG